UACAGAGGGGGCAAGCGUUAUUCGGAAUUAUUGGGCGUAAAGGGCGCGUAGGCGGCCAUUCAAGUGACGGGUGAAAGCCCUCGGCUUAACCGAGGAACUGCCUGUCAGACUGGAUGGCUCGAGACCGGGAGAGGUGAGUGGAAUUCCCAGUGUAGCGGUGAAAUGCGUAGAUAUUGGGAGGAACACCAGUGGCGAAGGCGGCUCACUGGACCGGAGCUGACGCUGAUGCGCGAAAGCGUGGGGAGCAAACAGG
rnacentral:rRNA from 1 species